rnacentral:snRNA from 1 species
UGCUGCAGGAAUUGGAACAGG